rnacentral:rRNA from 1 species
UAAACGACUCUCGGCAACGGAUAUCUCGGCUCUUGCAUCGAUGAAGAACGUAGCGANAUGCGAUACUUGGUGUGAAUUGCAGAAUCCCGUGAACCAUCGAGUCUUUGAACGCAAGUUGCGCCUGAGGCCAUCAGGUUGAAGGCACGUCUGCCUGGGCGUCACGC